rnacentral:rRNA from 1 species
AUUGAACGCUGGCGGCAGGCCUAACACAUGCAAGUCGAACGAGUGGCGGACGGGUGUGUAAUGUCUGGGCAACUGCCUGAUCGAGGGGGAUAAAUACUGGAAACUGUAGAUUAUACCGCAUACCAUCAGAUGCGGCCAGCUGGGAUGAACUUGUUGGUGGGGUAAAGGCUCACCAAGGCGACGAUCCCUAGCUGGUCUGAGAGGAUGACCCGCCACACUGGGACUGGGACACGGUCCAGACUCCUACGGGAGGCAGCAGUGGGGAAUAUUGCACAAUGGGCGAAAGCCUGAUGCAGCCAUGCCGCGUGUAUGAAGAAGGCCUUCGGGUUGUAAAGUACUUUUGGCAGAGAAGCGUUAUCCGCAGAAGAAGCACCGGCUAACUACGUGCCAGCAGCCGCGGUAAUAC